AAAACCAAUGCCCUUCGGGGCUCACUGGUGAUUCAUAAUAACUUCUCGAAUCGCACGGCCUUGCGCCGGCGAUGGUUCAUUCAAAUUUCUGCCCUAUCAACUUUCGAUGGCUGGGUCUUGGCCAGCCAUGGUAGCAACGGGUAACGGAGGGUUAGGGCUCGACCCCGGAGAAGGAGCCUGAGAAACGGCUACUACAUCCAAGGAAGGCAGCAGGCGCGCAAAUUACCCAAUCCCGAUACGGGGAGGUAGUGACAAUAAAUACUGAUACAGGGCUCUUUUGGGUCUUGUAAUUGGAAUGAGUACAAUUUAAAUCCCUUAACGAGGAACAAUUGGAGGGCAAGUCUGGUGCCAGCAGCCGCGGUAAUUCCAGCUCCAAUAGCGUAUAUUAAGUUGUUGAGGUUAAAAAGCUCGUAGUUGAACCUUGGGCCCAGCCGGCCGGUCCGCCUCACCGCGUGCACUGGCUCGGCCGGGCCUUUCCUUCUGGAGAACCGCAUGCCCUUCACUGGGCGUGCUGGGGAACCAGGACUUUUAC
rnacentral:rRNA from 1 species